rnacentral:rRNA from 1 species
ACGGAAGGCAGCAGUGGGGAAUAUUGCACAAUGGGGGAAACCCUGAUGCAGCAACGCCGCGUGAGUGAAGAAGUAUUUCGGUAUGUAAAGCUCUAUCAGCAGGGAAGAUAAUGACGGUACCUGACUAAGAAGCUCCGGCUAAAUACGUGCCAGCAGCCGCGGUAAUACGUAUGGAGCAAGCGUUAUCCGGAUUUACUGGGUGUAAAGGGUGCGUAGGUGGCAUGGUAAGUCAGAUGUGAAAUACCGGGGCUCAACCCCGGAGCUGCAUUUGAAACUGCCAGGCUGGAGUGCAGGAGAGGCAAGCGGAAUUCCUAGUGUAGCGGUGAAAUGCGUAGAUAUUAGGAGGAACACCAGUGGCGAAGGCGGCUUGCUGGACUGUUACUGACACUGAGACACGAAAGCGUGGGGAGCAAACAGGAUUAGAUACCCUGGUA